AGGAAUAUUGGACAAUGGCCGCAAGGCUGAUCCAGCCAUCCAGCGUGCAGGAAGAAGGCCCUACGGGUUGUAAACUGCUUUUGUCAGGGAAGAAACCUCUGGAUUUACUCCGGAGCUGACGGUACCUGAAGAAUAAGCACCGGCUAACCCCGUGCCAGCAGCCGCGGUAAUACGGAGGGUGCGAGCGUUAUCCGGAAUUACUGGGUUUAAAGGGUGCGUAGGCGGCUAUGUAAGUCAGGAGUGAAAGUUUGCGGCUCAACCGUAAAAUUGCUUUUGAUACUGCAUGGCUGGAAUCAGGAUGAGGUCAGCGGAAUGUGGCAUGUAGCGGUGAAAUGCAUAGAUAUGCCAUAGAACACCAAUUGCGAAGGCAGCUGACUAGACCUGUAUUGACGCUGAGGCACGAAAGCGUGGGGAGCGAA
rnacentral:rRNA from 1 species